rnacentral:rRNA from 1 species
GAUGAAAGCUGGCGGCGUGCCUAAUACAUGCAAGUCGAGCGAACAGACGAGGAGCUUGCUCCUCUGAUGUUAGCGGCGGACGGGUGAGUAACACGUGGAUAACCUACCUAUAAGACUGGGAUAACUUCGGGAAACCGGAGCUAAUACCGGAUAAUAUAUUGAACCGCAUGGUUCAAUAGUGAAAGACGGUUUUGCUGUCACUUAUAGAUGGAUCCGCGCCGCAUUAGCUAGUUGGUAAGGUAACGGCUUACCAAGGCAACGAUGCGUAGCCGACCUGAGAGUGUGAUCGGCCACACUGGAACUGAGACACGGUCCAGACUCCUACGGGAGGCAGCAGUAGGGAAUCUUCCGCAAAGGGCGAAAGCCUGACGGAGCAACGCCGCGUGAGUGAUGAAGGUCUUCGGAUCGUAAAACUCUGUUAUUAGGGAAGAACAAAUGUGUAAGUAACUAUGCACGUCUUGACGGUACCUAAUCAGAAAGCCACGGCUAACUACGUG